GAGUUUGAUCCUGGCUCAGAUUGAACGCUGGCGGAAUGCUUUACACAUGCAAGUCGAGCGGCAGCGCGGGGCAACCUGGCGGCGAGCGGCGAACGGGUGAGUAAUGCAUCGGAACAUGUCCAUGUCGUGGGGGAUAGCCCGGCGAAAGCCGGAUUAAUACCGCAUACGCCCGAGAGGGGAAAGUGGGGGACCGCAAGGCCUCACGCGAUUGGGUUGGCCGAUGUCCGAUUAGCUAGUUGGCGGGGUAAAGGCCCACCAAGGCGAUGAUCGGUAGCUGGUCUGAGAGGAUGAUCAGCCACACUGGGACUGAGACACGGCCCAGACUCCUACGGGAGGCAGCAGUGGGGAAUUUUGGACAAUGGGGGCAACCCUGAUCCAGCCAUUCCGCGUGAGUGAAGAAGGCCUCGG
rnacentral:rRNA from 1 species